rnacentral:lncRNA from 1 species
ACAGAUUAUAUCAACAACACAUGGUGGUGGUACUGGUCAUCAAUGGCGGCUGCUGCCAAGACAUCCACCAUCUCCGCCCUUGCUCUUCGUAUCUACACACUCGAUGCUGCCAUUGACUACCAGAAAACCAACACCACCACCGCCGCCACCUCUUCCAGCCAAAAACUAUCAAAGAAACGGAAACACCCCGAUGACAAACCCAAUGAAUAAAGAAAGAAACCAAAAAAACCACUAGAUAAACAAGAAAUCAAGGAGCAAAUCCAAAAUAUCAUUCCAUAAUCCGAAUGUUUAUCCCGUGUUUUAAUUUUUAUUUGGAGUUUAUAUGUGUGUUUUAUGAAAGAUUGUGUUUGCAAGAGUUUUAGCUUAUUGGAUUUACAAGUUUUCGAGGCUAUUUUGAGGACAGUAUUAAGAGGGUAUUCAUGUCUUUGUACUUGGUUCCAUCUUAAUUAUCAUAAAAGUAAAUUUGCAAAUUAAAACUACAAUGCAAAAGCCAUUUUUCAUUAAUGAUCAGAAAAUUAAUUUUUCAAGUUAAAACAAUCAUUCAAAAUCCAUUUUACAAAGAUAAUGAUUAUUAUAUACAUAUAUUAAUUCAAUGAGGUUUGGGGAAUAGUAUAGUUUUAUUGGAUGUCACUUGUGCCACAUAAUUUUUUAAGUUUGACAUUUUAUCUCCCUAUAUAAUUUUUGAAGUUUGACAAACUAAAAAUAAAUUUAAAAUGCAAAAGAAAAGUAAAAUUCCGAAUUUUUUUUUAAUUAUUAUUUUUGUCAUUUUAUUAAUCUAAAAAAAUUAAAAUAAAUAAAUACCAAAUAAAGAAAAUUUAUUGUUUUUUUUUUUGAAAAUAUGUGAAAUAUUCCAAUAGAAUAUUACACUGUAAAUUUUCGAAUGUGAUUNAAUUCUCAUCAUUUUUGUGAAAAUAAGUUAAGCAUGAGUUGUAUUUUAUUGAAUGAAUUCCAAACUAAAAAUACUAGUUAUUUAACAUUAUUAUUAUUUUCUUAAUUUUUAAUUUUUAUGUUUCUGGAUUGCAAAUGGUUGAAGCAACUAUGGUAUUGGAAACCAUGAUCAAGACAGAUUAUAUCAACAACACAUGGUGGUGGUUGGUCAUCAANGUACUGGUCAUCAAUGGCGGCUGCUGCCAAGACAUCCACCAUCUCAGCCCUUGCUCUUCGUAUCUACACACUCGAUGCUGCCACUGACUACCAGAAAACCAACACCACCACCGCGGCCACCUCUUCCAGCCAAAAACUAUCAAAGAAACGGAAACACCCCGAUGACAAACCCAAUGAAUAAAGAAAGAAACCAAAAAAACCACUAGAUAAACAAGAAAUCAAGGAGCAAAUCCAAAAUAUCAUUCCAUAAUCCGAAUGUUUAUCCCGUGUUUUAAUUUUUAUUUGGAGUUUAUAUGUGUGUUUUAUGAAAGAUUGUGUUUGCAAGA